rnacentral:tRNA from 8 species
AGGGCUAUAGCUCAGUGGGUAGAGCACCUCGUUUACACCGAGAAAGUCUACGGUUCGAAUCCGUAUAGCCCUA